AGCCAUGACAGUCACUAUCAGAGAUCUCGACUUCUACCUAAUGAUGUGAAUCAUAGCUGUUUCUUUGGUAGGACACGAGUGGGGAUCUGAAGGUGUCCCAAACGUGUUAGGCUUACUAAAUAAAAAUAUAGCUUCUUUUAAUGAGACGAGAAUCUAGGAAAGAUCUGAGAAGUCCUUUGACAUGUUGAGCUCUUUGGCUUUUUCUCUGGGCACAAUCAGCUCAGUUGGUUUCAUUCUCAUCAGCAGAUAGAAGAGAGACAUGAUCCAAAUACUCUCAAAUCUUUCAGUCAAGGGGUGCAAAACAAGAUGACACAGUACCAUUUUAAGCCGUGGACAAACUUCCCUUUUAUAGAUUGACAAAAAGCCAAUUCUACAAGGAAUGUUCAUUUUUGAGGUUUGGGAAUAUCAGCCCGUAUGUUUAUAUUAAAACACACUUGAAAACCAUGUUUCUCCCGACAAUAAAUUCUUUAAAUAAAAUAGUAUCAGUGAAGUUUGUAUGAAAAACACUAAUAUCUUUGUAUUUUAUUUUCUUACACUUCAAUAUAAUGUAUGUGAUUUAUAGAAAUGGGAUAGCUUUAAAAAAAAAAACUCUGAGAAGGCACUUGAUAGACUUAUUUCCCUCUAUCAGAUUAUAUUUAAAGUAACAAUGAGUUUAAAAAUAAAAAAUUUGAAAUUAUUUCAUAAAUGUUGGAUACGUGGGAUUCGAAGUACAAAAAACUGCUAAUUUUAGAUAGUUGGCGGUUUAGAGAUAUUAAAACCACAGCAUAAAGACAGAAGCUGCCUUCAUAAAGGAAUAUGGGUUUAUAGAAAGACACAUUUGGAUUUGAACUUGAGCUCUGCAAAUGACCAGCAAAUUACGCUGGUAGGACCAGCGUACGGCAUUUUCAUAGUUCUGCCAAAAAGUAGGGUGUCAGUUACAAUUCCUUUGUUUUCACUUUCUUCCUCAUCUCUUGCACUGUUCUCUACUAUAAUUUAAAAGACAUUAACAAAAUCAUACAGGAAGAGAUUAAGAGAAACAAGAGGAGGUAUUCAAACGGUUCAGGAUGAGAAAAAUGAAAACAAAAACACAAACAAAAACCACUCAAGAUUUCUGACCCUUCUUUAUCAUUAAAUGCACUUUUCUAAAUGAAGAACCAUGUGUGAACUAGCAGCAAAGUUUGAAAUAAGAAUAGGGUAUCUAACUUGCUACCAUAUCGGUUCUUUCAAAGAACACUUAGGUGAAAAUGUGCUAAAGAUAACGCUCUUCAUUUCCAGAAAUUCAAGCAAUUUUUAAGAAUGUACCUUCACAUGAGCAAUACUCCUGUGAACAACACUCAUGUGAACAACACAAGGGUUAGGGAGGCUGACACCCUUUGUGGGAAAGAAUCCACGUGUAACUUUUGAGUCUCCCCAAACUUAACUACUAAUAGUCUACUGCUGACUGAAAGUUUUAUCAAUAACAGAACCAGUCAAUUAACACCUAUUUUGCAUAUGUAUUACAUACUAAAUCCUUACAAUGAAGUAAGCUAGAGAAAAGAAAAUAUUAAGAAAAUCAUAAGGAAGAGAAAAUACAUUUACAGGAUUCGAUUGUAUAUAUCAAAAAAAAAUCUGUGUAUAAGUGAACUCGUACAAUUCCAGCUCAUGUUGUUCAAGGGUCAACUGCAAUAAAAACGGGGAGUAAGACAGUGAAGUGUUUUAAUUAAGCUUAAAUGCACUUGACAAUGAACCAUUUAAAAAGAAUAUCCUUUCAUCAAGUGCCAACAUCAGAGAUGCUAGCCGAAGCAAAAAGUUACUAAUGCUAUUAAUUUUGUUGCUUUUCUUCCCUCUGAGAAUCAUAAUGAAGAUCAGUGAGGGCAGACUGCUCAGAUAUGGUAGGAGUUCAACAGUCACGUGCAUGCACCAAUUCUCAAAGGACUGACACUGAGAAACACAGCUUUUGAGUUAAUAACUGAUAGCUUCUGAGAAGGCAUCAAGAUCCAAAGGCAAAACAGAAAGAGAGAAAACAGAAAAUAAACGACAGCAACAUGCAUUAAAGAAUCAAGGAGAAACUGAGAGGAGCAGAAAGACGUGCUUAUGACUGUACACAUUGAAAGUGAACUUUAGGUAAACCUAAGUACAGAUUUCUUAAAAGUGUCUAACAAGGAUUAUAUAUUUAUUUGUCCCAGAAUAAAAUUGUUCUCAG